CGUAGGGUGCGAGCGUUAAUCGGAAUUACUGGGCGUAAAGUGUGCGCAGGUGGCCGCGCAAGUCGAGUGUGAAAUCCCCGAGCUUAACUUGGGAAUUGCGCUCGAAACUACGUGGCUCGAGUGUGGCAGAGGAAGGUGGAAUUCCACGUGUAGCGGUGAAAUGCGUAGAGAUGUGGAGGAACACCGAUGGCGAAGGCAGCCUUCUGGGCCAACACUGACGCUCAUGCACGAAAGCGUGGGGAGCAAACAGGAUUAGAUACCCUGGUAGUCCACGCCCUAAACGAUGAUGACUAGUUGUUGGGGAGUUAAAUCCCUUAGUAACGCAGCUAACGCGUGAAGUCAUCCGCCUGGGGAGUACGGUCGCAAGAUUA
rnacentral:rRNA from 1 species